GUGCCAGCAGCCGCGGUAAAACCAGCACCUCGAGUGGUCAGGAGGUUUAUUGGGCCUAAAGCAUCCGUAGCCGGUUGCACAAGUUUCCGGUUAAAUCCACAUGCUUAACAUUUGGGCUGCCGGAAAUACUGUGCAACUAGGGAGUGGGAGAGGUAGGCGGUACUCGGUAGGAAGGGGUAAAAUCCUUUGAUCUAUUGAUGACCACCUGUGGCGAAGGCGGUCUACCAGAACACGUUCGACGGUGAGGGAUGAAAGCUGGGGGAGCAAACCGGAUUAGAUACCCGGGUAGUCCCAGCUGUAAACGAUGCAGACUCGGUGAUGCAUUGGCUUAUGGCCAGUGCAGUGCCGCAGAGAAGUCGUUAAGUCUGCCGCCUGGGAAGUACGUACGCAAGUAUGAAACUUAAAGGAAUUGGCGGGGGAGCACCACAAGGGGUGAAGCCUGCGGUUCAAUUGGAGUCAACGCCAGAAAUCUUACCCGGGGCGACAGCAGAAUGAAGGUCAAGCUGAAGACUUUACCAGACAAGCUGAGAGGUGGUGCAUGGCCGUCGCCAGCUCGUGCCGUGAGAUGUCCUGUUAAGUCAGGUAACGAGCGAGACCCUUGCCUCUAGUUGCCACCAUUACUCUCUGGAGUAGUGGGGCGAAUUAGCGGGACCGCCACAGUUAAUGUGGAGGAAGGAGAGGGCCACGGCAGGUCAGUAUGCCCCGAAACCCUGGGGCCACACGCGGGCUGCAAUGGUAGUGACAACGUGUUCCGAAUCCUAAAGGAGGAGGUAAUCAUCAAACGCUACCACAGUUAUGACUGAGGGCUGCAACUCGCCCUCACGAAUAUGGAAUCCCUAGUAACUGCGCGUCAUUACCGCGCGGUGAAUACGUCCCUGCUCCUUGCACACACCGCCCGUCGUUUCAUCGAAGUUGGCUUUUAGCGAGGUGACGUCUUGUUGGCGUUAUCGAACUUGAGGUCAGUGACGAGGGAAAAGUCGUAACAAGGUAACC
rnacentral:rRNA from 1 species